rnacentral:rRNA from 1 species
UCAGGCGGCUAUAGCGCCGGGGUUCCACCUCUUCCCUUCCCGAACAGAGUAGUUAAACCCGGUUGCGCCAAUGGUACUGCAUCUCUGUGGGAGAGUAGGUCGUCGCCGGAU